GAGAGCUCAGGCCUGCAGCAGAGGGAGUGCAGAUGUGGGGGAAGCUGACCCUGGAGUUAACAGGCUCAGACCUUAAAGGGGGUAGUCUCACAGCAGGUUCACACCCAGCACUUCAGAGUUUCAGCAAGUAAGGCAACUGCAAGACCCUCAUUCUGCCGGGAAGCUUCUGAUUAGGGCCCUAAACCACCAUCCUUUUCACAUCUGCAAGGACACUAGAGGCAACACCCAGGGUCACUCUGAGAGGGCCUGAACCUGCUUUAUUAACAGGAUCGAGGGUCAGAUACAACAAAGAGAGGACAAUACUGGCACUAGACUGAAAAGAUUCAUGGAACACAGUGGAAAGUCCAGAAAGAGAGCCACGUGACCGAAGUAAGUCGUGAUGCAGGAAAUGAGUGCGUUUCACAGCUUGCUGAGCCCCUACUCGACCCAGGAAGCCCAGCUGGCCCCUCCUCUCAACAGGAGUGAGAAUCAGACUCAUGGAGGCAACCACUCAAGGUCACUCUGAGAAGGGUUGAACGUGCUUUAUUAAAAGGACUGAGGAUCAUGUGUGUUGGUGUGUCCCGGAGUCUGCUCUAAGGUAAAUAUGUGUGUGUGUGUGUUGGGGGGGCAGGGGUUGUGCCUGUAAUCCUGUGUGUGUGACCUCCUUAUUAGAGGAUUUUUGUUCAUUAAAGUAGGAGUGUGAA
rnacentral:lncRNA from 1 species